ACCGAAAUAGCUCAGUUGGGAGAGCGUUAGACUAUAGAUCCAAAAGUCCCUGGUUCGAUCCCGGGUUCUGGCA
rnacentral:tRNA from 1 species